AUUAUUAAACACUUGUAUUCUAUAUUUUAAUCAAGGAUGCCUGCGAGCUCCACCAUUUUCCUUAUCAAUUGUCAGUAGAUGAAAUUGUAAGUUGGUUUCCAAUUUGAAAUAAAAUUAUUUUCAAAUCCAUAUCUGCUUCAUUAAUUUUAAUUCAUUAUUUUCGUUAUGAAGAAUAUUUUCAUAACUACUGAUUUUGAAUGACACAAAAUUCUUACUCACAGUCAAUUCAUCGAGUAUCUCAAAUUCAAGGUAAAUACCGAUCAAACAUUCAUUCAAUUCUUCUUAUUUGUUUAUCAUAGUUGGUUCCAAAUUUGUAAUGGGUAUGAUGAUAAUAAUCUAAUUCCAUAUUCGUCCUAUCAAUAUGAUCAUUAUUGCCCCCAUUCGUACUGCCCUCAUCAGACAUUCUAUCAUUAGAAAUCUGCUUGUAAGCUUCCGCCCCCAUUUGGUAUCAGAGCCAAGUGAGUGGUAAUUGCAUUAGCAUCUUUAUAAUUUGCAAGUCAGGUUCAUAUCCAUCCUUACAAUUUACAGUCUAUCUUAUCUGUUAGUCCUUAUAGUCGUUU
rnacentral:lncRNA from 1 species